GCUUCUAUGGCCAAGCGGUAAGGCGUCGCACUUGUAAGUUCUCAGGUAUGCGAAGAUCCAUGGUUCGAAUCCGUGUGGAAGCA
rfam:Pseudallescheria apiosperma strain IHEM 14462 SEQ_SAPIO_0089, whole genome shotgun sequence.